rnacentral:rRNA from 1 species
CCUACGGGGGGCAGCAGUGGGGAAUAUUGGGCAAUGGGCGCAAGCCUGACCCAGCAACGCCGCGUGAAGGAAGAAGGCUUUCGGGUUGUAAACUUCUUUUCUCAGGGACGAAGCAAGUGACGGUACCUGAGGAAUAAGCCACGGCUAACUACGUGCCAGCAGCCGCGGUAAUACGUAGGUGGCAAGCGUUAUCCGGAUUUACUGGGUGUAAAGGGCGUGUAGGCGGGAAAGCAAGUCAGAUGUGAAAACCAUGGGCUCAACCUGUGGCCUGCAUUUGAAACUGUUUUUCUUGAGUACUGGAGAGGCAGACGGAAUUCCUAGUGUAGCGGUGAAAUGCGUAGAUAUUAGGAGGAACACCAGUGGCGAAGGCGGUCUGCUGGACAGCAACUGACGCUGAGGCGCGAAAGCGUGGGGAGCAAACAGGAUUAGAUACCCCAGU